AGAGUUUGAUCAUGGCUCAGAUUGAACGCUGGCGGCAGGCUUAACACAUGCAAGUCGAGCGGUAGCAGGCCUUCGGGUGCUGACGAGCGGCGGACGGGUGAGGAAUGCAUAGGAAUCUGCCUAUUAGUGGGGGAUAACACGGGGAAACUCGUGCUAAUACCGCAUACGUCCUACGGGAGAAAGCGGGGGAUCUUUGGACCUCGCGCUAAUAGAUGAGCCUAUGCCGGAUUAGCUAGUUGGUAGGGUAAAGGCCUACCAAGGCGACGAUCCGUAGCUGGUCUGAGAGGAUGAUCAGCCACACUGGGACUGAGACACGGCCCAGACUCCUACGGGAGGCAGCAGUGGGGAAUAUUGGACAAUGGGCGCAAGCCUGAUCCAGCCAUGCCGCGUGUGUGAAGAAGGCCUUCGGGUUGUAAAGCACUUUAAGUGGGGAGGAAGGUUAGUGGUUUAAUACGCUACUAAAUUGACGUUACCCACAGAAUAAGCACCGGCUAACUCUGUGCCAGCAGCCGCGGUAAUACAGAGGGUGCAAGCGUUAAUCGGAAUUACUGGGCGUAAAGCGCGCGUAGGUGGUUUUGUAAGUUGAAUGUGAAAUCCCCGGGCUUAACCUGGGAAUGGCAUCCAAAACUGCACGACUAGAGUAUGGGAGAGGGAGGUAGAAUUCCAGGUGUAGCGGUGAAAUGCGUAGAGAUCUGGAGGAAUACCGGUGGCGAAGGCGGCCUCCUGGCCUAAUACUGACACUGAGGUGCGAAAGCGUGGGCAGCAAACAGGAUUAGAUACCCUGGUAGUCCACGCCGUAAACGAUGAGAACUAGCCGUUGGUCUCCUUGAGAGGUUAGUGGCGCAGCUAACGCGAUAAGUUCUCCGCCUGGGGAGUACGGCCGCAAGGUUAAAACUCAAAUGAAUUGACGGGGGCCCGCACAAGCGGUGGAGCAUGUGGUUUAAUUCGACGCAACGCGAAGAACCUUACCUGGUCUUGACAUCCACGGAAUCCUGCAGAGAUGUGGGAGUGCCUUCGGGAACCGUGAGACAGGUGCUGCAUGGCUGCCGUCAGCUCGUGUUGUGAAAUGUUGGGUUAAGUCCCGUAACGAGCGCAACCCUUGUCCUUAGUUGCCAGCGAGUAAUGUCGGGAACUCUAAGGAGACUGCCGGUGACAAACCGGAGGAAGGUGGGGACGACGUCAAGUCAUCAUGGCCCUUACGACCAGGGCUACACACGUGCUACAAUGGCCGGUACAGAGGGUUGCCAAGCCGCGAGGUGGAGCCAAUCCCGAAAAGCCGGUCGUAGUCCGGAUUGCAGUCUGCAACUCGACUGCAUGAAGUCGGAAUCGCUAGUAAUCGCAGAUCAGAAUGCUGCGGUGAAUACGUUCCCGGGCCUUGUACACACCGCCCGUCACACCAUGGGAGUGGGUUGCACCAGAAGUAGUUAGCUUAACCGCAAGGGGAGCGAUUACCACGGUGUGAUUCAUGACUGGGGUGAAGUCGUAACAAGGUA
rnacentral:rRNA from 1 species